rnacentral:rRNA from 1 species
CCUCGGGAGGCAGCAGUGAGGAAUAUUGGUCCAUGGGCGGAAGCCUGAACCAGCCAAGUCGCGUGAGGGAAUAAGGCCCUACGGGUCGUAAACCUCUUUUGCCGGGGAGCAAGGGCCGGGACGAGUCCCGGUCCGGAGAGUACCCGGAGAAAAAGCAUCGGCUAACUCCGUGCCAGCAGCCGCGGUAAUACGGAGGAUGCGAGCGUUAUCCGGAUUUAUUGGGUUUAAAGGGUGCGUAGGCGGGCUUUUAAGUCAGCGGUAAAAAUUCGGGGCUCAACCCCGUCCGGCCGUUGAAACUGGGGGCC